CCAGGCCCUUCUGGGGAAGUGUGGGCAAGGUGUGAGCAGAGAAAGGACAGCUUCCCUGGGAGCUCUCUCAGCUCCAGUGACCUCCUUAGCUUCCCCUGGCACCCUCUAAGCAACUCCACAGACAGGUCUGGGAUCAAGGACAGUCUUCCCCUUCCCAUCCCCCUUUGGAUCAAGCUGGGCCUUGUUUUAAGUGCUGGACAGAAGGUGGGCCAAAUGUGAUUUGGAAGCCUAGAUGGAACAAUGGAGCAGCACAGGAGGGUUAUUCGGGUGUCUGGAGACUCUCUUGGCACUACACAGAUAUUCACCAAGUUCUCUGAAGGCAGGUGCCUUCAACAACUCUAAUGUGCCAGCUGUGAGACAUUCAGACAGUAUUAUUCACUCAGUAGGUGCUCCAAGUGUGAACCUAAUCGAUGUUGAUGAUGGUGUUAAUGAAGAAGAUGAUGAUGGCAACCAUAAAAAUAAAAAAAAAUUAAAAAAAAAUCUCAGUCUUCAAAGAGAAGAACCUAAGGAGUUUGA